AUUGAACGCUAGCGGGAUGCUUUACACAUGCAAGUCGAACGAGUGGCGGACGGGUGAGUAAGAUAGCGGAACGUGCCCAGCAGCGGGGGAUAACUACUCGAAAGAGUGGAUAAUACCGCAUACUAUUGUAGCGGCCGACAUCGGAGUAGCUAGUGGGUGGGGUAAAGGCUCACCAAGGCCACGCUCCGUAGCUGGUUGGAGAGGACGACCAGACACACUGGGACUGAGACACGGCCCAGACUCCUACGGGAGGCAGCAGUGGGGAAUUUUGGACAAUUGAGGAAACCCUGAUCGAGCAAUCCCGCGUGUAUGAGAAGGCCUUCGGGUUGUAAAAUACUUUUGGCAGAGAAGCGGUAUCUACCGAGUAAGCACCGGCUAACUACGUGCCAGCAGCCGCGGUAAUAC
rnacentral:rRNA from 1 species